rnacentral:rRNA from 1 species
GACGAACGCUGGCGGCGUGCUUAACACAUGCAAGUCGAACGGAAAGGCCCUUCGGGGUACUCGAGUGGCGAACGGGUGAGUAACACGUGGGUGAUCUGCCCUGCACUUUGGGAUAAGCCUGGGAAACUGGGUCUAAUACCGGAUAGGACCACGGCAUGCAUGUGCUGUGGUGGAAAGCUUUUGCGGUGUGGGAUGGGCCCGCGGCCUAUCAGCUUGUUGGUGAGGUUACGGCUCACCAAGGCGACGACGGGUAGCCGGCCUGAGAGGGUGUCCGGCCACACUGGGACUGAGAUACGGCCCAGACUCCUACGGGAGGCAGCAGUGGGGAAUAUUGCACAAUGGGCGCAAGCCUGAUGCAACGACGCCGCGUGAGGGAUGACGGCCUUCGGGUUGUAAACCUCUUUCGCCAGGGACGAAGCGCAAGUGACGGUACCUGAGAAGAAGC